rnacentral:rRNA from 1 species
UACGUAGGGUGCAAGCGUUACUCGGAAUUACUGGGCGUCAAGCGUGCGCAGGCGGUUUUGUAAGUCUGACGUGAAAUCCCCGGGCUCAACCUGGGAAUUGCGUUGGAGACUGCAAGGCUAGAAUCUGGCAGAGGGGGGUAGAAUUCCACGUGUAGCAGUGAAAUGCGUAGAGAUGUGGAGGAACACCGAUGGCGAAGGCAGCCCCCUGGGUCAAGAUUGACGCUCAUGCACGAAAGCGUGGGGAGCAAACAGG